AUCUAACUGACGAGUCCUAAAAUGGGACGAAACGCACGUCAAACUGGAU
rnacentral:hammerhead_ribozyme from 1 species